CUUUAAGUUUCAAUCUUGCGACCGUACUUCCCAGGCGGCAGACUUAACGGCUUCCCUGCGGCACUGCAUUGGCAAGAAGCCAAUGCAUCACCGAGUCUGCAUCGUUUACAGCUGGGACUACCCGGGUAUCUAAUCCGGUUUGCUCCCCCAGCUUUCAUCCCUCACUGUCGAACGUGUUCUGGCAGACCGCCUUCGCCACUGGUGGUCUUCAAAGGAUCAGAGGAUUUUACCCCUACCCCCCGAGUACCGUCUGCCUCUCCCACUCCCUAGUCUUGUAGUAUCUCCAGCGGCCCAUCUGUUGAGCAGGUGGAUUUAACCGGAGACUUGCAAGACCAGCUACGGAUGCUUUAGGCCCAAUAAUCGUCCUGACCACUCGAGGUGCUGGUAUUACCGCGGCGGCUGACACCAGACUUGCCCACCCCUUAUUCGC
rnacentral:rRNA from 1 species